ensembl:snRNA U6 U6 spliceosomal RNA
GUGCUUACUUCAGCAGCACCUAGACCAAAAUUGGAACAAUACAGAGAAGAUCACUAUGGCCCCACUGCAAGGACGACACCCAAAUUCAUGGUCUAGUAGCUGUCCCC